UACGUAGGGCGCAAGCGUUGUCCGGAAUUAUUGGGCGUAAAGAGCUCGUAGGCGGUCUGUCGCGUCUGCUGUGAAAUCCCGAGGCUCAACCUCGGGCUUGCAGUGGGUACGGGCAGACUAGAGUGCGGUAGGGGAGAAUGGAAUUCCUGGUGUAGCGGUGGAAUGCGCAGAUAUCAGGAGGAACACCGAUGGCGAAGGCAGUUCUCUGGGCCGUAACUGACGCUGAGGAGCGAAAGCGUGGGGAGCGAACAGGAUUAGAUACCCUG
rnacentral:rRNA from 1 species